rnacentral:tRNA from 1 species
GUCUGUUGGUGAAGCGGUUAACACACAUGGUUUUCAUCCGUGCAUUGCACGGGUUCGAUCCCCGUACAGACGCCA